ACGCUCGACACCUACGGGAGGUAGCAGUGGGGAAUAUUGCACAAUGGGGGAAACCCUGAUGCAGCGACGCCGCGUGAGUGAAGAAGUAAUUCGUUAUGUAAAGCUCUAUCAGCAGGGAAGAAAGUGACGGUACCUGAGUAAGAAGCCCCGGCUAACUACGUGCCAGCAGCCGCGGUAAUCUGAGCGGGCUGGCAAGGC
rnacentral:rRNA from 1 species